UGCCUAGCCAUGGGGCACCCCCUUCUC
rnacentral:piRNA from 1 species